UCCCUGAUGGCUUAGACAGUAAAGCGUCUGCCUGCAAUGCAGGAGACCCAGGUUCAAUCCCUGGGUUGGGAA
rnacentral:tRNA from 1 species